rnacentral:rRNA from 1 species
UACGGGGGGGGGCAAGCGUUGUUCGGAAUUACUGGGCGUAAAGGGCGCGUAGGUGGCGCGACAAGUCAGUGGUGAAAGCUCGACGCUCAACGUCGAGUCGGCCACUGAUACUGUUGGGCUUGAGCACUGUAGAGGCUAAUGGAAUUCCGGGUGUAGCGGUGGAAUGCGUAGAGAUCCGGAAGAACACCGGUGGCGAAGGCGGCUCUCUGGGACGGUACUGACGCUGAGACGCGAAAGCGUGGGGAGCAACAGG